AAAUCCGUCGACUUUAGAAAUCGGGAGGUUCAAGCCCUCUAUCCCCA
rnacentral:tRNA from 1 species